rnacentral:misc_RNA from 4 species
AACGCACAUUGCGCCUCUUGGUAUUCCGAGGGGCAUGUCUGUUUGAGCGUCAGUACCCUCUCUCAUUGGCUUUUGCUGAAGAGGUCAUGGAGGUGGAGGAGCAAUCCUCCCCUCCCAACGUGGCACGCUUGCGAACCGAUACCGAUCACGACGUAGUAAAACAUCUUCGUUACUGUGAGGUGGAGGCCGCCUGAAUCAAACUUUGUAGUUUGACCUCAGAUCAGACAAGGAUACCCGCUGAACUUAA